rnacentral:lncRNA from 1 species
AAAUGGUAAUUUUAUUGACUGAAGGUAAAGAAAUUGUUAGACUUGGGAAAUGCUGUGGGAUUAGUCAUUGUAAUUUUAAGUGGAACCAUAAAAAAAUGUGACCUUCAAAGGUACUGGUGAAGGUAAUUAUAUAAGUAAAAAAGAUAAGUGAAAAUUUAAAGUCUGUAUAAACUGUAUCUAAAAAUUAUUCACAAUUCUGAUGUAGACAAGG